rnacentral:rRNA from 1 species
GACGAACGCUGGCGGCGUGCUUAACACAUGCAAGUCGAACGCUGAACCCGCUUCGGUGGGGGAUGAGUGGCGAACGGGUGAGUAACACGUGGGCAACCUGCCCCCGGCUCUGGGAUAACUCCAAGAAAUUGGGUCUAAUACCGGAUGUGACCGCUGGCCGCAUGGUCUGGUGGUGGAAAGGGUUUCCGGCUGGGGAUGGGCCCGCGGCCUAUCAGCUUGUUGGUGGGGUAGUGGCCUACCAAGGCGACGACGGGUAGCCGGCCUGAGAGGGUGACCGGCCACACUGGGACUGAGACACGGCCCAGACUCCUACGGGAGGCAGCAGUGGGGAAUAUUGCGCAAUGGGCGGAAGCCUGACGCAGCGACGCCGCGUGGGGGAUGACGGCCUUCGGGUUGUAAACCUCUUUCAGCAGGGACGAAGCGCAAGUGACGGUACCUGCAGAAGAAGCACCGGCCAACUACGUG